rnacentral:rRNA from 1 species
CCUACGGGUGGCUGCAGUGGGGAAUAUUGCACAAUGGGCGAAAGCCUGAUGCAGCGACGCCGCGUGAGGGAUGAAGGCCUUCGGGUUGUAAACCUCUUUCAGUAGGGAAGCGGUACCUGCAGAAGAAGCACCGGCUAACUACGUGCCAGCAGCCGCGGUAAUACGUAGGGUGCAAGCGUUGUCCGGAAUUAUUGGGCGUAAAGAGCUCGUAGGCGGUUUGUCGCGUCUGGUGUGAAAACUGAAGGCUCAACCGUGAGCUUGCAUCGGGUACGGGCAGACUAGAGUGUGGUAGGGGUGACUGGAAUUCCUGGUGUAGCGGUGGAAUGCGCAGAUAUCAGGAGGAACACCGAUGGCGAAGGCAGGUCACUGGGCACACUGACGCUGAGGAGCGAAAGCAUGGGGAGCGAACAGGAUUAGAUACCCUUGUAGUC